GUGAUCAGAAAGCUUGUAUCAGAUCUAUGAGGCAGGUGCUGUAGGAAACUGGGCACAGUGUUGGGACAUCUGACAAAGUAUUGGACCAUGGGGCCAAGAGAGUCAGCAAAUUUGUGAAUGAGAGAGAAUCUUUAAUGGGGGUCAGAGUGACCAUCUUUCUGGCAAAAUGGCAAAAGGGAAAAUUGGACACACUGGUAUAGAAAGACAAGGGAUGGUUAGAGAAGGAAUCAAGGUGGUUUCUCUUCUUCCUCAAAGGCUCUAGGGGCUCCACGUUUGAGUCUGUUUCAGAAUAAUUGUGAAAAGCUGUGGAGUUUUUAGGACGAUGGGGGAAGAAGAGUUGUCCCCAGGAAGAUGGAAUUGAGCCAGGUGAGGUUCUAUCAAGGUGUAGAAAUAAGGACCCAGGAGCAGGGAGCUGGGCUUCGGGAAUGGUGGGGCUUGAAGGAGGAAGGCACAGCAAUAAGGGAAUGGAUGUUCCUCUCUCAUGAGCUGUGUGAUGAAUUGUUCUCUUAAUCAAGUUGCCGUCAUAACUGCAAACAGUGCUCUCAAGAACUGGGAUGUAGAAGAGGGGAAAGAGUGCUUUCUGGUUUGGUGCAGCAGAUCCUCUAAGACAGAGGCUUUCAUACUUUUUCAGAUUAUGACUCACAGCAAGGAUUACCUUUUCUCUCAUAAGCCAGUGACAUAUACAUUUCUAUGAAACUGAAGCAAAAUUUCAUGGGACAAUGCUUACCCUUACUAUGCAAGAUACAUGCUGAUAUUUUCUAUUCUCUUCUGUUUCAUUUGAGCAAAAUUGCUGGCACCUCUCACAAAACGGAUUUCUCAAUCCUUGAAAGGGUCAUGACUUACUGAGUGAAAAAUCAGUUCUGAGUUGCACCAUAUGUCAACAAACAGAAUGUCCACAGAAGCUAUCAUUCGGUUCUUACAAACCACAAUCAACAGCAUGGAAGAAGUUGCAUGCAGAAUUUUUUCCAAGGCAAAGAGAUAAAAAAGCAAGGUUUUAAUUCUGGUUAGCCUGUGUCCUUAUAGCCUGCUACUAACUUCCACUGCAGUGGAUUUUCAGAUUGUCCAGAAUGUGAUUCUGUAAGGGGGGAUUGGAAACAUGUUCUGAAUAUGUGCAGAAGUUUCCUGAGUACCAUUUAAGUUCAGUCGUGCUAAGCCUGAGAUAGGGCGUCAUCCCUCACAAGCUUCCCAGGACCCCUUGGCUGUGCACACAAAGAGAACCCGGCUUUUCUUGUUUGGGCCUUUGCUCCUUCCUAUUUGAUUGAAUCUGAAGAGGAACUGUUUGCCUUAGGCCGUACAUCCUGAAUCACAAUCAGGAUGCUGCUGGCACAGAAAAGCUGCUCCCACCCUUGCCUGAAAUAACUGAACAGGGAAAUAGAGUUCCUCCCAUCCCCAGCCUUAAAGCAAGAGGCUCAUAAUUUAUGGUGUGCUGGCAAUACAUCAGAAGUCAGUUCAGUCACUUACAGUAAAAUCAAGGAGGGCAGAACAAUGAAUAUAAAGUGAGAUUAAAACACCUCAUUAAGGGACAAAUUGUUCAAUGGACCCCAGAAUAACGAUGCUUUGGUCUUUGUUAGCCAGAGUCCAGUGGCCUUCAGAGAUGCUUCCUUGUCUGUAGGAUACGAAAAAAGCUUGUUCUUACAGGUCUGAUAUUUGGUGAAAUCAGAAGGGUGCAAAGGAAAAAAAGCUAUGGCUGCCUGCAGGAGCCACUUCUGGGAGCCAGGAGGUUGCCAUAGAGAUGUCAUGGGGCAGAGGAGAGACGAGGGGCCUGGAGAGACUGGCCGUGUGACACUUGCCAUCCCCUGACUUUCAGUGGCACUUGGCUGGGUCCACGAUAUGGAAGAUAAUCCAUAAAUCUUUGUUGGUUAGUUAUUUGGAAUGAAUGUCCAGAAAAUGCUGAAGAAUACCUGAGGAGACAAAAGGGAGUGAUAGAGUGAUUAAAUAUGUCAUUACUGCCUUCUUUGCUAUUUAUGAGAUUUCUUUUAACCUGUGGUAUUAUCUGCUUAGAAAGUUCCAGAUUGUAUUAACCAUGUUCACAUUUUCUCUCUGAUCCCUCCUUCUAACCCUUGCUCUCCAUUCCCCCAACAUUUAUUGUAAAAAGGUGUUUUGUU